AAUUUUCACUCUGCUGCCCCUGAGCAUAACACUUGGGGUACAGUAGGUACAGGCACGGGUUCCCCAGCCAGUGCGCCACAGUGCCGGACACUCCCUGGAGUUAGCGAGGCCCUGGUGCUAGGACUAGUGCGAGGGCGGGGGACCGCUUCCCCUCCAGCCUCGGAGACGCGAGCCCGGACCUGUCCGGGCCCAACCUGCCCUAGCCAGUCUCGCGGGAUUGCUUAGUUCUCGCGCCCCGUGCGGCUCCCAGAUCCAGGCAACUCGCCAGAGCCAUUUGCUCCCGCCUCGGGGACCCGAGGGGAGGGAGGCGGCGGCGGCGGCGGCGACGACGACGACGACGACGACGACGACGACGACGAUAGCGGCGCUGGCUCUAGGCUCACCCAGAAGUUUCCCCCAGUAAAUCGAGAAGUAAAUUUCAGUAAAAACAACGCCCUAAAGGAUGAUAAAAUAAUGAAAUGAGCAAUUUGAGCAACUUUUUGAUGUUGCCUAAGAUGAUCAAAAUAACUGCAUUCCAAGCCAUGUGGUGAAAUCAGAAAUUUGAAGAAAAUGGAAGCAUUCAUAUUUUUUGUGAUGUGUAUAAUGCUUCCCCUCGUUAGAGGGCACAGUUACUUUACCUGUGAACCAAUUACUGUUCCCAAAUGUGUGAAAAUGACCUACAAUAUGACAUUUUUCCCUAAUUUGAUGGGGCAUUAUGACCAGUCUAUGGCUGCUAUGGAAAUGGAGCCUUUUCUCCCUCUAGCAAAUCUGCGCUGUUCACCAGAUGUCGAUACUUUCCUCUGUAAAGCUUUUGUGCCAGCCUGCACUGAGCAAAUUCACGUGGUUCCUCCUUGUCGAAAGUUUUGUGAGAGAGUAUAUUCUGACUGUAAACAGUUAAUUGACACUUUUGGUAUUACGUGGCCAGAGGAGCUUGAAUGCAGCAGAUUGCAGAAUUGUGAUGAGUCUGUUCCAGUCGCUUCAGACCUUACCACCAAGUUUCACGACCCACCAAAAACACCAGAGCAGGUUCCAAGAGACUAUGGAUUUUGGUGUCCAAGACAUCUGAAGACCUCUGGUGGACAAGGCUACAAAUUCCUUGGAAUUGACCAGUGUGCACCCCCAUGUCCCAACAUGUAUUUCAAAAAUGAUGAAUUAGAAUUUGCCAAAAGCUUCAUCGGAAUUGUUUCAAUAUUUUGCCUUUGUGCAACUUUGUUCACUUUCUUGACUUUUCUAAUAGAUGUUAAAAGAUUUAGGUACCCUGAAAGACCAAUCAUAUAUUACUCUGUCUGUUACAGUAUUGUAUCAUUAAUGUACUUCAUUGGUUUUUUGCUAGGCAAUAGUACAGCCUGUAAUAAGGCAGAUGAAAAACUAGAGCUUGGUGAAACAGUUGUUUUGGGCUCUCAAAAUAAGGCAUGUACAGUUCUCUUUAUGCUUUUAUAUUUUUUCACAAUGGCAGGCACUGUAUGGUGGGUGAUUCUUACCAUUACUUGGUUCUUAGCUGCUGGAAGAAAGUGGAGCUGUGAAGCAAUUGAACAAAAGGCUGUGUGGUUUCAUGCAGUUGCCUGGGGGAUGCCUGGUUUCUUGACAGUGAUGCUUCUGGCAAUGAACAAAGUAGAAGGGGACAAUAUCAGUGGUGUUUGUUUUGUUGGCCUUUAUGACCUUUAUGCUUCUCGAUACUUUGUGUUGUUGCCUCUAUGCCUUUGUGUGUUUGUUGGAUUGUCUCUUCUUUUAGCUGGCAUUAUUUCUUUAAAUCAUGUUCGGCAAGUUAUACAGCAUGAUGGAAGAAACCAAGAAAAACUAAAGAAAUUUAUGAUUAGAAUUGGAGUCUUCAGUGGUUUGUACCUUGUUCCAUUAGUAACACUUCUUGGAUGUUAUGCCUAUGAGCAGAUAUACAGAAUUACUUGGGAAACAACUUGGGUCUCUGACCAUUGCCAUCGAUACCAUAUCCCAUGCCCCCAUCAGGCAAAAACAUUAGCGCGCCCAGAAUUGGCAUUGUUUAUGAUAAAGUAUCUGAUGACACUGAUUGUUGGAAUCUCUGCAGUCUUUUGGGUGGGAAGCAAAAAGACCUGCACAGAAUGGGCAAGUUUCUUCAACAGAAAUCGCAAGAGAGAUCCAAUCAGUGAGAGUAGAAGAGUACUGCAAGAAUCCUGUGAGUUUUUCUUAAAACACAAUUCUAAAGUUAAACAUAAAAAGAAGCACUACAAAUCAAGUUCACACAAACUGAAAGUAAUUUCAAAAUCCAUGGGAACCAGUACAGGAGCUACAACAAAUCAUGGAACAUCUGCAGUAGCAAUUGCUAACCAUGAUUACUUAGGUCAAGAGACUUUGACAGAAAUUAAAACAUCCCCAGAAACAUCUGUGAGAGAUACAGGAGCAGAUGGACCCUCCAUUCAGAAAACAAAAGAAAAUAAUGUGGUAGAGCAUGUAACACCUGCAGAAUCUAGUUCUAAAUUAUCUGUGGAACAGAUGGAAAAAAAGUGCAAGACAGGAAAUUCCAAUGAUAAGAACAGUAUAUCUGGAAGUGUGCGGAGUGAAGGAAGAUUCUCUACAAAGAAUGCUGGAGUCAUUAUCUAGGUCUGCAUUUUGGUUAAAAAAAAAACAAACAACUACACCAAUAGAGUCUAUGAAGGGCAUAGCUUGGCUGUGUUGAUAUUAUUGUUCAGUUGUUUCAGUUGUAUCCAACUCUUCAUGAUCCUGUUUGGGUUUUUCUUAGCAAAGAUUUUGGAGUGGUUUGUCAUUUCUUUCUCCAGCUCAUUUUACAAAUGAAAAACUAAGGCCAACAGACUUAAGUAACUUGCCCAAGGUCACAUAGCUAGCACUGGAUUUGAACUCAGGAAGACGAAUCAUCCUGGUUUCAAAUACUGGCUUUUUUUUUUUUUUACCUAUGCGAAUUCAGACCUGUUUCUUCAUCUAUAAAAUGAGAUUAGAUGAUUUUCUAGCUCUAAAAUACUAUUAUGCUUUGUGUUGUGUAAUGUGUCACCAGAAAAAGCUAAUGUUAUCUUGGGUUUCACCAAUAAACAUAAAAUUUAUAAAAAGAAGAGAAAAAUCACCCAAAGAAAUGGAAAUGGGGGGAAAAAGUGUGGUAUAUGAAUAUAAUGAAAUAUGUAGUAUAAGAGACUAGGAAUUCAAGAGAAGAUUGUUAUGAAAUGAUAUAGAAUGAAAUAAGUAGAACAGUAUACAUAUGUGUGUAUGUAUAUAUGUAUAUAUGCAUAUAUAUGUAUAUACACAGAGAGAGAGAGAAGAGAGAUCAAUAGAAAGAUAUGAACAAUGAUGGUGUAAAUUAAAGUAUCACUAAAAGAAGACUGAUCUUAGUCAUUGGAAAACCAGUGCUAAGAAUCCUAGGAAAAUGAAAAAAUGAGAGGUAUCCAAGGAGCUUCUCUCCUUUCACCAUAACAACUAAUAAUAAGAAAUACCUUCAGAUGAAGAUGUCUUAGCAGUAAUAGAAAAGGAAAAGUUAAAAAACCUUUCACAAAUUUCACAGUAUUAAUUCUCAUAGAAAAAAAUAGUAAAUACUACCUCAGAAGCCUGAUGCUUUUACUAUGUUUCUACCCUUUAUGUUCCCCUUUCUCCUGCACAUGGACCCUAGGUGACCCUGUUGUCCUAAUGGCAGUCAUGAUUUUUUUAACUUAAUCCCUCAUCAUUGUAAUAGAAGGAUUGAGAACAGAUAAGUCCCCAUUCCCAAGGUGGGUAGAGGUUCUGGCACUAGCUUUUCUCACCCCUAGGUUUCCCUCUAUCAGUUUUUUCAGUUUAUGCCUUGGACUGGAUACUGACUUUCAGAGUUAACCUUUCUCCCAAUGAAGACUGAAACUCAUAAAUCAGAGCAGCCCCAAAACUCAGAAAGAAUAAAAGGAAUGAGACUGUGGAGAAGUGUAGAGCCUGAGGAAGAAGAAGAGCCAAUAGAAUGAGUGAGCAUUAGAUAAAAGAGUGAAAAGCAAAGGUUUUUGGAGAAUGCCUUUCAGCCAUAUAGUGGGGAACCCUCCUCAGACCUCUCUGCAACCUGUAUACCUAGGGGCUUGCCAGAAGACUAAAGAAAGUCACUUUAUAAAGAAAAAGGUUGAACCAAGAAAUACAGGAUUGCUAAAGGUAGAAAAAAAAGCAUAAUUACAAUGGCCACCAGCAUUCUCCCUGCAAUAGUAUUUCAACUGGUCAUCUUUUCUUCCUAAGGGGCAUAGCCUUCACCUAACCCUGGUGUUUCUAGAGAAGAGAGCACAAUCAACAGACUUUGUCAUUUCCAACCCUUAAAUGAUUACUUAAUCCCUUAAAUAGUGUUCAGUUUACAGAAGCUCAAAGAUAAAAUUUUAGAAAGGAUACUAUAUGAAAGAGUCAGAAUAAUUAACAUAGACAAAAGCUGACUGUGAAAAUGAAUAAACACUAAAGAAAAGAACAAUUUGAAUGGAAAAGUACUUUAGCAAAAAAAAAAAUUGUGCCAAAAUCCUCUGAGAAAAUUACAGAUAUCAUAAAUUGAAAAAGGAAAUUUAAAUGGCAUAGUCCAAAAAAUCACAGAGAAAAAUUGCCUAGAAAUAUUGGAGGCAGAUAAAUUAUAGGUUCAGAGAAUCCAUAAAGUGCCAGCCGAAAGAAACUAUGUUUAAUUUAUCAUGAAGCAUCAUAAUCAGAGCUCAGAACUACAUUCUCAAAAAAAACUAAUUUUUCAGGCAGCAAGGAAGAAGAUUCUUUUGAGUCCAUAAAGAAUUGGUCAAUUAUGGGACUGGCUGCUAGCUCCCUCUGUGCAGAGGAAGUAUUUGGGCCACUAGAAAAGUGUGAUUCCAAAGACCGAAUAUGGCAUAAUAUAUCCAAAGGGAAUAUGACAUGACAUUAAUGGAGAAAAAAUAUUAAUUUGACACAUUAAGUUUACUUAUUAUGAAUAAGUGAGAAAAGCAAUAUUGAGACAUAAUCUCAAAAAAAUGAUAUCUGUUUGAUUCCAUGGCAAAACAUUCAACAUCAUAUUAAUACAAAUCUGUAUACCAGCCACUGAUGACAAAGAGGCCAAAGUUGAUCAGUUCUAUGAAGACUUUGAGCAUCUUCUACCAGAAAAAGACAUCAUCACAUUCUUAAUAUGGGAUUGGAAUGAGAAAGUAGAAAAUAAAAAUAUAAUUGGAAUAACUUACAAAAAACAAGGGAGAGACUAAUAGAGUUUUUGCAAGAUAACUCAGUACUCACAGAAAAUGCCCUUUCUUUUUUUAAACCCUUUCCUUAUGUAUUAUCAAUAUUGUGUGUUAAUUCCAAGGAAGAAGAGCAGUAAUGGCUAGACAAUGGGGGUUAAGUGACUUGCCCAGGGUCACACCGCUAGAAAGUAUGUAAGGCCAAAUUUGAAUCCAGGGCCUCCCAUCUCUAGACCUGGCUCUCUCUCUACUGAGCCACUGAACUGCUUGCCCCAUAUAUCUUUUUCAACAACCCAAAAGGCACCUUUGCAAAUGGACAUCAUCACACUGUCAGUAUCGAAAUCAAUUUAAUUAUAUAUUUUGCAGCCAAAGGUAGAGAAGCUUAGUACAGAUAGUUAAAACAAGACUUGGAGCUAACUGAGGGACAGAUCAUCUGCUUAUUGCAAAAUUCAAACAUAAAUUGAAGAAAAUAGGGGAAACCAUUAUACUAUAGAGGUAUGUCCUAAAUAACAUGCUUUAUGAAUAUAAAGUAGAAGUGAUAAAUAGAUUUAAGGAAUUAGAUCUGGUAGACACAGUGCCUGAAGAACUAUAGAUAGAGAUAAGCAAUAUUAUACAGGAGGUGGCUACAAAAAAACUUCAAAAGAAAAACCUGGACUUACAUGAAUUGAUUCAAAGUAAAAUAAACAGAAAUAGGAGAACAUUGUACGUAGUAGCAGCAAUAUUGUCCGAUGACUAAUUAUAAAUGACUUAGUGAUUCUCAGCAAUGCAAUGAUCCAAAAGAAUUCUGAAGGAUUUAAUGAUGAAAAAUUCUUUAUCAGUUCCAGAAAGAAAACUGAUAGAGUCAGAAUGCGGAUCAAAGCUUACUUUUUAAAAACUUUAUUUUUCUUUGGUUGUUUUUUUAUCUGUAUUUUUUUGUAAAACAUGUUUCCAUGUUAGGUUGUGAAUGACUGCAUAUGUAUAAUCUAUUUCAAGUUGCUUUCUAUCUCAGGGAGGUAAGGGGGAGGAUAGGAGAGAAUUCGGAAUUCAAUUUCAAAAAAGAAAUAUUAAAAUGUUUACACAUAAUUGGAGAAAAAUAAAGUAUCAAAAGUUAGUUAAUUUUUUAAAAAUUCUACAAGCUAGGCUUCAACUGUGUGUUGUAAAAAAUAGACUCGAAUACAGGACUACAAUCCCCAUGAGCCUUUGCUCCACUUCCCCAGAAUGCCUUGUAAUCUCACCUGGGCCGAGAUCGAGAAGAUAUUUAAGCAAAGGCUUUUGAAGGGCUCGGCCUCUUUUUGGACUUCCAUUUUUGGAGCAGACACAGCUCUUUCCAUAAUGUAGGUGAGGUCUAGGCCUCUGGCCUAGACACGUGUUUUUUCUUAUCCUGUAUUUUCUUUUAAUCCUUAACUUUAAUAAACCUCUAAAAAAUAUAAUACUCCUUGCAGAGAGAAACUAAUUUCUACCUGCCUCAGAUGCCUCAGUCUCCCCAUCUCCCCUAGCUCUGAGGAAGCUUGCUCUGAAGGAAGCUGAAGGUGGGGGCCUCUGAGACUGUUUCUCCAUUUUGGACACGGUAACUCCAAAAGGCAAUUUUACUGAUACUCACCCACUGCAAAGUAGCAAUUUGCAGAUACCCAGCAUUUCGCAACCAGAUAGUCCUAAAGGCUCUACGUCACUGCUCAUCCACUCUGCUUUGGACAUUGGGAAAGAGCAGGGUUCUGGAAACAAUUCAGAUACUUGAAAAAGAAAA